rnacentral:rRNA from 1 species
GACGAACGCUGGCGGCGUGCUUAACACAUGCAAGUCGAACGGAAAGGCCCUGCUUUUGUGGGGUGCUCGAGUGGCGAACGGGUGAGUAACACGUGAGUAACCUGCCCUUGACUUUGGGAUAACUUCAGGAAACUGGGGCUAAUACCGGAUAGGAGCUCCUGCUGCAUGGUGGGGGUUGGAAAGUUUCGGCGGUUGGGGAUGGACUCGCGGCUUAUCAGCUUGUUGGUGGGGUAGUGGCUUACCAAGGCUUUGACGGGUAGCCGGCCUGAGAGGGUGACCGGCCACAGUGGGACUGAGAUACGGCCCAGACGCCUACGGGGGGCAGCAGUGGGGGAUAGUGCACGAUGGGCGGAAGCCGUAUGCAGCAACGCCGCGUGCUGGAUGACGGCCUUCGGGUUGUAAACCGCGUGCGCCUGUGACGAAGCGUGAGUGACGGUAAUGGGUAAAGAAGCACCGGCUAACUACGUG